UACAGAGACUGCAAGCGUUAUUCGGAUUCACCGGGCGUAAAGGGUGCGCAGGCGGCCAAGUGUGUCAGGUGUGAAAUCCCGGGGCUUAACUCCGGAACUGCGCCUGAAACUACUUGGCUAGAGCAUUGGAGAGGGAAGUGGAAUUCACGGUGUAGCAGUGAAAUGCGUAGAUAUCGUGAGGAACACCAGAGGCGAAGGCGACUUCCUGGACAAUUGCUGACGCUCAGGCACGAAAGCGUGGGGAGCCAAAGGG
rnacentral:rRNA from 1 species